rnacentral:rRNA from 1 species
GGUGAACGCUAGCUACAGGCUUAACACAUGCAAGUCGAGGGGAAACGAUAUUGGAAGCUUGCUUCCGAUAGGCGUCGACCGGCGCACGGGUGAGUAACGCGUAUCCAACCUGCCCACCACUUGGGGAUAACCUUGCGAAAGUAAGACUAAUACCCAAUGAUAUCUCUAGAAGACAUCUGAAAGAGAUUAAAGAUUUAUCGGUGAUGGAUGGGGAUGCGUCUGAUUAGCUUGUUGGCGGGGUAACGGCCCACCAAGGCUACGAUCAGUAGGGGUUCUGGGAGGCAGGUCCCCCAAAUUGGAAAUGAGACACGGUCCAAACUCCUACGGGAGGCAGCAGUGAGGAAUAUUGGUCAAUGGGCGAGAGCCUGAACCAGCCAAGUAGCGUGCAGGAUGACGGCCCUAUGGGUUGUAAACUGCUUUUAUAAGGGAAUAAAGUGAGAGUCGUGACUCUUUUUGCAUGUACCUUAUGAAUAAGGACCGGCUAAUUCCGUGCCAGCCGCCGCCGUAAGAC